rnacentral:rRNA from 1 species
AUUGAACGCUGGCGGCAGGCCUAACACAUGCAAGUCGAGCGGAUGAAGGGAGCUUGCUCCUGGAUUCAGCGGCGGACGGGUGAGUAAUGCCUAGGAAUCUGCCUGGUAGUGGGGGAUAACGUCCGGAAACGGGCGCUAAUACCGCAUACGUCCUGAGGGAGAAAGUGGGGGAUCUUCGGACCUCACGCUAUCAGAUGAGCCUAGGUCGGAUUGGCUAGUUGGUGGGGUAAAGGCCUACCAAGGCGACGAUCCGUAACUGGUCUGAGAGGAUGAUCAGUCACACUGGAACUGAGACACGGUCCAGACUCCUACGGGAGGCAGCAGUGGGGAAUAUUGGACAAUGGGCGAAAGCCUGAUCCAGCCAUGCCGCGUGUGUGAAGAAGGUCUUCGGAUUGUAAAGCACUUUAAGUUGGGAGGAAGGGCAGUAAGUUAAUACCUUGCUGUUUUGACGGUACCAACAGAAUAAGCACCGGCUAACUUCGUG